rnacentral:rRNA from 1 species
UAUUAGGGCUUUCGGGGGAUACUGCCAGACUUGGAACCGGGAGAGGUAAGAGGUACUACAGGGGUAGGAGUGAAAUCUUGUAAUCCCUGUGGGACCACCUGUGGCGAAGGCGUCUUACCAGAACGGGUUCGACGGUGAGGGACGAAAGCUGGGGGCACGAACCGGAUUAGAUACCCGGGUAGUCCCAGCCGUAAACGAUGCUCGCUAGGUGUCAGGCAUGGCGCGACCGUGUCUGGUGCCGCAGGGAAGCCGUGAAGCGAGCCACCUGGGAAGUACGGCCGCAAGGCUGAAACUUAAAGGAAUUGGCGGGGGAGCACAACAACGGGUGGAGCCCUGCGGUUUAAUUGGACUCAACGCCGGACAACUCACCGGGGGCGACAGCAAUAUGUAGGCCAAGCUGAAGACUUUGCCUGAAUCGCUGAGUGGAGGUGCAUGG